GCCGCGGUGGUGUAGUGGUAGAGCACGCGUCCCCGGAUAGGAUGAAAUGCGGGUUCGAUUCCGCGGGUUCGAUUCCCGCCUGAGGCC